rnacentral:lncRNA from 1 species
AAGAAUUGUGUCUACAAGGAAUUUCUUUUGACUUCCCAGUUUCAGAGCCUGCCCUACCCAGAGCCCAGAGUCCCCUGAGUCUUGUCCCAUCUGAGUGUUCAACCACAUUCUUCCUCACACGUUGGAAACUCUAAGUAGGCCUCAUUCUUUAAAGUUUCCAGAGGCCAGUUUGGUCAGUCUGUGCUUGGUGACUGCUGGUUUGAUGAAUGAAUGCAAGCAUGCAGAGAUGGCCCCUGAGAGCCCAGGUGCAACCACUCUCCAGUCGGGCCAAUUGGUCACAUAAUCAAUGGCUGGACACGAUGUUUCAAACCAGGGUCACAGAAGUAAGAAAACACCUUCAUAUCCAAGGAUCUCAAAGCACCUCUGGUGGAAACACAUAGCAAGGUAAAGGACGUCUGUUUAUU